rnacentral:rRNA from 1 species
CUACCGCUAUUGGAGUUCGAUUAAGCCAUGCGAGUCGCGAGAAAUUAGAUUCUCGGCGUACCGCUCAGUAACACGUGGGUAACCUGCCCUAUGCUGGAUAAUAACCUCGGGAAACUGAGUAUAAUGAUCCAUAGUUCACUACGCCUGGAACGGUGAGUGGACGAAAGCUCCGGCGGCAUAGGAUGGGCCUGCGGCGUAUCAGGUUGUAGGGGGUGUAACGUACCCUCUAGCCCUCUACGCGUACGGGUGUUGGGAGACAUAGCCCGGAGAUGGAUUCUGAGACACGAAUCCAGACCCUACGGGGUGCAGCAGGCGCGAAAACUUGGCAAUGCGAGAAAUCGUGACCAGGGAACUCCAAGUGCAUCGGGUAAGACCGGUGCUUUUCUUGACUCUAAAUAGGUCUUGGAAUAAGGGGUGGGUAAGGACGGUGCCAGCCGCCGCGGUAAUACCGGCGCCUCAAGUGGUAGUCGCUUUUAUUGGGCCUAAAACGUCCGUAGCCGGUCUGAUACAUUCGUGGGUAAAUCAACCAGCUCAACUGGUUGAAUUCUGCGAGGACGGUCAGACUUGGGACCGGGAGAGGUGUGGGGUACGCUCAGGGUAGGGGUAAAAUCCUGUCAUCCUGAGCGGACCACCUGUUGCGAAGGCGCCACACUAGAACGGAUCCGACGGUCAGGGACGAAGCCUAGGGGCACGGAACCGGAUUAGAUACCCGGGUAGUCCUAGGUGUAAACGCUGUGGACUUGAUGUUGGGGGUGCUCCGAAGCACUCUCAGUGUCGAAGCGAAGGU